rnacentral:rRNA from 1 species
CCUACGGGCGGCAGCAGUGAGGAAUAUUGGUCAAUGGGCGGAAGCCUGAACCAGCCAAGUAGCGUGCAGGAUGACGGCCCUACGGGUUGUAAACUGCUUUUAUACGGGAAUAACGCGCCUUACGUGUAGGGCUUUGCAUGUACCGUAUGAAUAAGGACCGGCUAAUUCCGUGCCAGCAGCCGCGGUAAUACGGAAGGUCCGGGCGUUAUCCGGAUUAUUGGGGUUAAAGGGAGCGUAGGCCGCAUGUCAAGCGUGCUGUGAAAUGUCCGGGCUCAACCCGGGCCUUGUAGCGCGAACUGGCGUGCUUGAGUCCGCGGAAAGCAGGCGGAAUUCGUCGUGUAGCGGUGAAAUGCUUAGAUAUGACGAAGAACCCCGAUUGCGAAGGCAGCUUGCUGCAGCGGAACUGACGCUGAUGCUCGAAAGCGCGGGUAUCGAACAGGAUUAGAUACCCCAGUAGUC